CUCCUGCUUCAGACGGGGAGAGAAGCUGACGGAUCCAACAUGGCCGCCCGGGUCCUGAGGAGAGAGUACGGUUAGCCCAAGUGGAAAUAGGCAGAAUAUUAGGUCUUGUGCUGGUCUGGGUUCGUGAGACUGACUGGGCCUCCAGCUGAAGCAUUACCCAGCGGAUGUGUAAAAGUUUCCCUUCCAUCGGGGGCCCUGAGGGCCGGAUAGAAUGGCCUCGUGGGCUGCAUCCGGCUCGUGGGCCGUAUUUUGCCGACCCCUGCUGUAGAGGAAGGUCCAAGAAACUCCACGGUGGACAAUUAGGGGUUAUAAUAGAUGUUUCUUAAGAGCUGUUUUUCAUGAUGGCUUCUACUCGAAUCCUUUCUUAAACUUUUGAGUUGCUAGUGUUUUCUAAUUCAGGCCUACUGAAUUUGGGGUUGUGUGUGGCUGUGUUCUGGCAAAAAUGGAGGCAUUUCUCUUGUCUGUCUUCAGUUGAUGAUGCUGAGGAUUGUAGGUGUUUUUCAGCUGAUACAGUGGGAUGUCUGUGUAGAGUCCUGGGAAUUAGGAGGAUAUAUUCAUCUCAUUACACAACAGCUAAAUAUCCUGGGCUAUAUAGCCGAAAAUCUAUGCAGGGACUUAGUCGCAGUCUUAACUGUCAUUUUAUAGCAUUGCUUAUCUGCUGGGUGAAAACACCAACUUGCAUGUGUUUCUGAGAGCCACGUGUCAAGUGCGCUGUGUGUAGCGAUACUCAGUUUCUAACAUGAAUUGGGGAUAUGACUGGAGUCUGCUCUGCUGUGAAAUAGGACCCUACUUUAACCAUGUUAGUGACCUCACUUGUGACUGGGGGCCCUUCUCCUGCAGACCUUAAACAUGAUGUGAAGAGAGAAUCUUUAAAUCCAGUUAAUGUAAGUUGUUUUUCCUACUUUGAUCUAUGUAGGAUGCAUGAAAUCUUUCUUUUCUCCUUGCAUUUUGUCUUAAAUUUCCAGAGUAUUAACUGUACUUCUAUUUGCUGUCAGUGAUGAUAAACGGUUUCUUCCAAAGCAGGUGCAAAAAAUGGGUUACUGGGCAAUACUUUCCAAAUCCAAACAAAAAAGUGUGUUGUACCCAUACCAUAAAUUUGCUUCCAAGAGGGCAGUAGGAAAGAGAGACUGGCUAUAAAAUGGAGGCAAGAUGAGGGAUUUUUUUUAUGUUGGAGCUUUUGCCAUACAGAGAGUUUUUUAAACUUUUUUUUAAAGAAGAGACUUGAAAGUGCUGAUCACACUCAUGCCCUGCUACCAUGCAAAUAAUCAUAGCAAAGGUUGGCCAGGAGACUAAAUAAGAUGUUAGUUUCUUUCCAGUAACUUGUUCUCACUGAUCAACUUAAUACUAUGAUCUGGUCAGUCAAGCAUUUCAUUCAGUCUUUAGAUAAGAGACUGAGCUUGAUUUCACUUUUUUUGAGAGUCCUAGAGGAUACUUCUGGGCUACACUGGGAUAAUUAUCUCUGAUAAUAGCACUUUCUUAAACUAAGGUGAAUGCUUAAAAAUGUGGCAUUGCUCCCAGUGAGCUGGGGACUUGAAAGGAAAGGCUAGUUCUUGAUGCAGUUAGAAUGCAUGAUUACUGCCAUUGAUCUUGAAUUUUGUUGUUCUUAUUAUAUAUUUUAACUAAAUUUAACUUUAGCUAACUGUAGGAACAUCCGAUUUUAAUGGGACUAUUCAUGUGCUUAAUAUAAUCAGGAUGAGAGCUGAGUGCCCUGUCCUGGAGAAGCUCAAAUGUUGUUCUUAGCUGUGAGUAGGUCUGCUAAAGUCAGAGGGACUAUUUGCAAUGUGUGAAAUUACGUCUGUGCAUAAAUAUGAGGUCAGGUCCAUGAUUGUAAGGGGGAAAGCCCUUGUGUGUACUUUUGUCUGUAUUUUGCCUAGUUACUUAAAGUGUUUCCCCAAUACAAUUGGCUUCCUCCUGUUUGUGUGUCAUUAACACAGCAGCAAGGGGACAAAAACACUCUUAAAAGAAAAAGUGACAGCAGAACUGUAAGAAUGGUGGGUCAGCAGGGGAACAUCCUGGUUGGUGGUGUAGCAGAAACUACCUGAAAUUAGAUUUUUGUUUUGUUUUUGUUUUAAUAACCUCGUCUGGGAUUAUGAAAACAAGAUCUUAUGUUUGUUCUUUUGUUCACAUUAGCAUUUCAGUUUGAUCAUAACAUUAAAAUAGGAAAUUACACAUCCAGGCUUUUGGAUAGUUUUGUGAAAUGUUUUUUGUUGGUAUGUCUUGUGGAUUCUUUGGUGUCCUGAUUUUUGGCAGGUGGAGCACUUCUGUUUUCUGUUAUGGGGGGUGACUUCCCUCUUCCCUCCCCCCGCAAUGCUUCUGAAGCUACAUAAGGUUAAAUCCUAAUAGUACUUAAAACAAACGGAUAGGUUUCUCGUUAAUAUUUAUAUGAUCAUGAAAUUAUCGUACUGUAUCGAAGAGGUGGACUUAAGGUUGCUUUUGGAAAGUUUAAUCUUGUGUUUCCUGAGUUAUAUGCCAAAUGCCAACUACAGCUUUGCCUUGAUACGACCUUGGAGGUAUUUUGUGUGUGUGAUUUCUAUGGAUGUUUAGAGGAUAAGGUAAACCUGUUACUCCAUGGAAUGCUUUUUUGCCAAUUAUUUUGUUAAUUUAGAAAGUGAAUACUUCUGAGAAGAAAAAUUUCAAGAAUGUAUUUGGUAAUAGCCAAGUAAAUCUACAAAACCAAGAGUCAAAAAAACUUGAGCCACUGAACUGCCACCUGCAUUGUAGCUGUAGGAAGCUGUUUUCUGUCUCAGGUUAUCUUUAACUGUAUCUUUCUGUAUAAUCAUGACUCCUGGUUUACAAGACCUUUCUGGAAUUGUAAGCCAGGGAUUGUGAGGGGGGAAGGAAGAGGUGUGGGUUGGGAGCAAAUUGAGGCCCCCAUGGUGAGGAAGGGAGUGGGGCUGGGUAUAAGGCUGGGCCAGGCGCUGCCUAGCAGGGACAGUGUGUGGGAUGGAGCUGCAAGUGGCUUGUCUGGUAGGGGGGAUGUGUGGUUCCCACUGCUGCACACACCCCCAGGAGAGGCAUGGGGGGGGGGGACUCCUCU